rnacentral:tmRNA from 1 species
GGGGCUGACUUGGAUUUCGACAGAUUUCUUGUCGCACAGAUAGCAUGCCAAGUGCUGCUUGUAAAACAGCAACAAAAAUAACUGUAAACAACGCAGAUUACGCUCCAGCUUACGCUAAAGUUGCGUGAGUUAAUCUCCUUUUGGAGCUGGACUGAUUAGAAUUUCUAGCGUUUUAAUCACUCCAUAACCUUAAGCUAGACGCUUUUAAAAGGUGGUUCGCCUUUUAAACUAAGAAAAAGAACUCUUGAAACUAUCUCAAGGUUUUAGAAAGUUGGACCAGAGCUAGUUUUAAGGCUAAAAAACUAACCAAUUUUCUAAGCAUUGUAGAAGUUUGUGUUUAGGACAAGAUUUUUGGACUGGGGUUCGAUUCCCCACAGCUCCACCA